rnacentral:tRNA from 1 species
GCGGGCGUGAUGGAAUUGGUAGACAUACCGGACUUAAAAUUCGGAAGCUUUGGCUGUGCGGGUUCGAGUCCCGCCGCCCGCACCA